UACAGAGGGGGCAAGCGUUGUUCGGAAUUACUGGGCGUAAAGGGCGCGUAGGCGGCGCGGUAAGUCGGGUGUGAAAUCUCGGAGCUUAACUCCGAAACUGCAUUCGAUACUGCCGUGCUUGAGGACUGGAGAGGAGACUGGAAUUUACGGUGUAGCGGUGAAAUGCGUAGAUAUCGUAAGGAAGACCAGUGGCGAAGGCGGGUCUCUGGACAGUUCCUGACGCUGAGGCACGAAGGUCAGGGGAGCAAACGGG
rnacentral:rRNA from 1 species